rnacentral:lncRNA from 1 species
GGAAUUAUCCUUCUCAUUUACAGAGUGGUUUUUUUGGAAAAUAAAGAUAUUUUAUUAAAAAUAUAGUACUUAGUAGUCAUUAAAACAUGAAAUUUGUCUAGGCCACAAAGUGCCUAUCUCAUAUCUAUAAAAAACUGAAAUAACAAAAGCAGGCGGAUAAUAUACAACAUUAAGUUAGCAAAAGAGUCCAAGCUGCAUCCGUUCUUGGCUAAGGUGUCCGCUACCGCAUUAGGUUCUAUAAAUGCAUGCUUUAAAGUUGGCGUACCCUCUUAGAUAAUAGGGACCUGCAGUCAUCAAUAAUUUUUUAAUAAAGGCAAUUAUCAUUAUUUAUUAAGUUGAUUAGUUCCUGGCAAUAUGUUUCAAUGACUAAAGGAGUUAAUCUCUUUCGGAUGGCGAGUUUAAACCUUGCAACAUUGACAUG